GACGAACGCUGGCGGCGUGCUUAACACAUGCAAGUCGAACGGAAAGGCCCUGCUUUUGUGGGGUGCUCGAGUGGCGAACGGGUGAGUAACACGUGAGUAACCUGCCCUUGACUUUGGGAUAACUUCAGGAAACUGGGGCUAAUACCGGAUAGGAGCUCCUGCUGCAUGGUGGGGGUUGGAAAGUUUCGGCGGUUGGGGAUGGACUCGCGGCUUAUCAGCUUGUUGGUGGGGUAGUGGCUUACCAAGGCUUUGACGGGUAGCCGGCCUGAGAGGGUGACCGGCCACAUUGGGACUGAGAUACGGCCCAGACUCCUACGGGAGGCAGCAGUGGGGAAUAUUGCACAAUGGGCGGAAGCCUGAUGCAGCAACGCCGCGUGCGGGAGGACGGCCUUCGGGUUGUAAACCGCUUUCGCCUGUGACGAAGCGUGAGUGACGGUAAUGGGUAAAGAAGCACCGGCAAACUACGU
rnacentral:rRNA from 1 species